rnacentral:rRNA from 1 species
UACAGAGGGGGCAAGCGUUAUUCGGAAUUAUUGGGCGUAAAGGGCGCGUAGGCGGCAUGGCAAGUGGAUGGUGAAAUCCCUCGGCUUAACCGAGGAACUGCCGUCCAAACUGCUUCGCUUGAGACCGGGAGAGGUGAGUGGAAUUCCCAGUGUAGCGGUGAAAUGCGUAGAUAUUGGGAGGAACACCAGUGGCGAAGGCGGCUCACUGGACCGGUACUGACGCUGAAGCGCGAAAGCGUGGGGAGCAAACGGG